rnacentral:rRNA from 1 species
UCAAAGACUAUGACGUUGAUAGGCUACAGGUGUAAAGACAGUAAUGUCAAAGCUGAGUAGUACUAAUUGCCCGUUAGCUUUAUUUCUUAA